CGCAAGUCUUUCAGAGCGGCAUGCUUAGGUGGAAAGACUGCAUCUAUGGUGGCUCCGUGUGAGAAGUUAUAAAUGAUCUUGGGUCAUUAUGAACCUAAAGGUCAAGAAUGGAACGAGUAGUUUCAGAAAGGAAGCACAUAGAACUUGUGGAGUGAGCACAAGGCCACCAGCUAAGGGCAUUUUGGAAGCAAGGCAUGCAAUGACCUGAUGAGCAAAUUACCGGGAAGGUGAAUGGUAAUGUGGCCUGGCGUUGCUUGCAUAGAUGAGUCCUGCAUUCUGCCCAGCCUACAGAAUCUGUGGAGUGAGCAGAAGGUGCCCAGUGUGGGGCAGGACUUCUGACUUCUGUCUUCAAGCAGGAAAGUGGCCUGAUGUGCAAAUGGCUUGGGAGAGCUCAUGGUAUGAUCAGGAGCCAAGCUUAAAGCAGGACCUCUAACUGGAAACAAGGCAGUACGUCACCUGACAUGCAGAUGACUUAGAAGAGCCCAUGGUAUGAUCAGGAGCCCAGCUUAAAGCAGAACCUCUAACUGGACGAAAGGCAGGCCGUUUCCUGACUGUUUGGAAGGUGAAUGGUGUGGUGGCCUGGCGUUGCUUGCAUAGAUGGAGACCUGCAUACUGCUCAGCCUACAGUGGCCAUUAUUGAGGGGUAGAGGGACUCUUGCUAAAACCCAGAUCAGAUGUCAAUCCACUGAGCUUGGAUUCUGUUGUUUCUGCUACUGGUCUGAAUGAAUGAGGGAACAUGCAAGGUCAUAAAGACUGAGAUGUUUUUCAGAUUUACAGAGGCAAAUAUGAAGUAGUGUUAUGUCAGAAAUUUGACAAUAAAUAUUUCAACUUGCAA